rnacentral:lncRNA from 1 species
UUUAGAAAUUGUAAGAGGAUCUUGAUUUGUGAAAAUAUAUAAAUUUGAGUUUUGUAUAUGUGUGUGUGAGCGCAGAGAUCCACGCUAAUAAAGAGGAGGUCCAGAUGAAAUGCUACGAUAAUCUUUUAUGCAGCAUCACAUAUACAUAUGAUAACUGCACCUCGCACUGCGUAACAAAGGGGUACGAUACAGGAGACUGCCGUCCUCCAUAUAGGCAGCCCAAGAAACCUUUCGUUUGUUGUUGUUAUAAACGAUGAGAGAGAGAGAGAGAGAGAGAGAGAGAGAGAGAGAGAGAGAGAGAGUGUNNNNNNNNNNNNNNNNNNNNNNNNNNNNNNNNNNNNNNNNNNNNNNNNNNNNNNNNNNNNNNNNNNNNNNNNNNNNNNNNNNNNNNNNNNNNNNNNNNNNAAAAUAAAUAUAUAUAUAUAUAUAUAUAUAUAAGAACAUCAUCAUCUUCUUUGAAGGAUUUUUGUAAUAUAAAUUAGGACAAAAUUUACAAAAAUAAGAUUAGACUUUUAGAUAUUAUAGAUAUACUCACUUAUACAGAUGAUAUACACAAAUUCAAAUUAAUGACAUCAGUUGUUAUAUUUUAACAUCUUAUAAAAUUAAAAAAUAAAUAUGAUUCAUAUUUAGAAUUUGGGAACAUAAAAACUAGUUUAGUUAUUUUGAUGACAUGUUAUGGAGUAUAUUACAUAAUUGUAGUUUUAAAAUAUAACGUAAAUUGUUUUAUAGAGAUGAGUUUUAAGAAAUUCAUUUUUACAAAAAAAAAAAACUAAAAGCAUACAUUAAUAUAUCUACUUAUAUAUAUGUAUAUCUUAUUAUCUUAUUAUCUUAUCGAAUUUGGUUAAUUUUUACACUGGAAACAACAAAAUUUAUUAUUAAUUUAUAGAAUUUAUUAAUUUAUAGAGUAUUAAUUAUGGAGGUUUUACUGUAUAAGAGAUUGUGUAUCCAUUUAAGAUUUGACUAUGAGAUGUGAACAAAAUUAUUUGACUGGGUAUACUAUAUUCCUUAAACUUCCAAUAAAUCAUUUGGAAACAAAUUAAAUAUAUGAUAGAAAUAUAUAUAUAUAUAUAAUAAAUUUUUAAUACUUAGUUAAAUAGUUUCUUACCCAAAUACGGUGUUUUUGAAUAAUAAAGGCAAUUGUUUACUAUAAGAAAAUUAAAACAAAAUCACAUUAAUGUUUAGAUUAUAUUGGAAGUGUAUAAUAAUGGUAUUUUUAUGUGCCCCAAGAUGAAGAGUAUUUAUAAAUAGAGUUUGUCCGAGAUUGUUUCAUAUAUUCAGUAGCCAGCUUUACACAAAACAUACAGUAAGAAAGGAGCAAUGGGUUUCACAAAAAUCUUAGUGACUUGCUCUUUUGUAGUUAUAAUGGUUGUUUCGUUGUCCACCCAAAACGAUAUGGUAUCAGGUAAUUUGUUUCAUAAGAGCAACCAAAAUAUAUUAUAGAGCAUACAACAUGGAUCGGAGAAGAUUUAGACAAUGUAAAAGAAUCUUGGUUUGUAAAAAAUAUAAUUUGGAUUUUUUUUGUAUAUGUGUGUGCGCAGGGAUCCGAGCUAACAAAGGGGAGGUCCACAUGAAAUGCUUUGAAAAACUUUUAUGCAGCAUCACAUAUCAAGCAAAUAACUGCACCAACUACUGCUUAAAAGUCGGGUAUCAGACAGGAGAUUGCCGUCCUCCAUAUAGGCAGCCUGAGAAACCUUUCGUUUGUUGUUGUUAUUAUAUAUAAUGAUGAAUCUUUUAAAUUACAUCUUUUAUGAGAGAGAGGUCACUGUGGUUUCUCUUUAUAUUAUUAAUGCCAUGAAAUAAAAACCCAUCUUUGAACACAUGUUUUUGUUAUCCUAUAAAUGUCAUGUGGUUUCUAAAAUAUUGUUUUGUCCUCCAAGACCGCAAUUGUUAAAUCAGCAUUAGAGAAGAAAGUUUUUUGCUGAAAAAAAUUACCGAUCACAAUGUUUCUGUGUUUUACCAAAUGCUAAUAGCUCAAUUAGUAUAGAAUUUUGGCAAAAAAUUAGAAGUCGUCGGUUCGAGCAGCGCUUGGGACGAGACUAUAUAAUAUGUUCUGAAAAAUGUAUAGAUUUCAACCCAAAAUCUCUUAGUUAUUAAGAAAAAUCAUGCUAUAUCAUAUCGUUUUCCUCCUUAAAGGUGGAUCUGAUUCUCAAAACGUUUGUUGUACCAAGCUCACUUCAGAACUGGUAUUGGUGGAGUUUUAGGCAAUGAGGGAUUUGAUGUUUCCAAAUCGAACGUAUAAUCUUUCCUUGAAAUCUAUCUAAUUAUGGAAAGAAAUAUGCUUUGAACCAGGUGAGAACAAAAUGAAUCGUUCUCACAUUUUUGCCGCACACACCCCUAUUUUUGUCCUAGACUUCCAAGCUGACCUCAUUAGUGUGUGAUACACUGAUGAUUGAUUACUAAGCUUCAAAAAUAAAUUAAAACUUGAUCUCCUUCCAAUAAAGUACCUAAAAUGUCUAGCUUAAGCCAUAACAUGUAGUGAUGUACACGUAUCUUAAAUAAGUAGAGUACAAAACGUUAUAGUUUAAGGAGUAAUAAAUGAAAUGUUAUUAUAUUAAGGUACUUGCUCUGUUUUAUUCAAUCGAAUCAGAGAGUUCCCCCACAUUAAUUAAAAAAAAAAAGUCAAAAGUCAAAAAAGAAAUAUGGAACAAAGAUCUGAGAUAUAUUCUUCAGUUAAACUUCAACAAUGUCUUAAUAUCCUACAUUCCUUAAACUUACACUAAAUAAUUUAGAAACAAAUUAAAUAUAUUAGAUAUGAUUUUCACUUUUUUGGGUAGGAAUAUUGAUAUGAUAGAAAUAUAUAUAUAUAUAAUUAAUUAAAUGUUAAUACUUAGUCAGAUUUUUUACCCAAAUAUAGUGUUUUUGACCAAUGAGAGCAAGUUCUUUAUGGUAAGAAAAUUAAAUAAAAUCACAUUAAUUGUUGAGAUUGUUUUCUGGAAAUGUUAUAAUAAUGGGAUUUCUUUUAUGUACCAAGAUGAUUAAAUAGAGCUUUUUCGAGAUUGUUUCAUAUAUUUCAGUACACAGCUUUAUACAAAACACAAACAAAAAAAGGAGCAAUGGGUUUCACAAAGAUCUUAGUGACUUGCACUCUUGUGGUUAUAAUGGUUGUUUCGUUAUCCACCCAAAACGAUAUGGAAUCAGGUAUGUUGUUUUGUUUUAUAUACUAAUGUUAAGAGCUUUAUAUCGGAAGAUGAUUUCAUAAGUCGGAAAAGAUUUAGAAAUCGUAAAAGGAUCUUGAUUUGUGAAAAUAUAAAUUUGAUUUUGUAUAUGUGUGUGUGAGCGCAGAGAUCCAAGCUAAUAAAGAGGAAGUCCAGAUGAAAUGCUAUGAUAAUCUUUUAUGCAGCAUCACAUAUCAAGCAAAUAAUUGCACCUCGCACUGCGUAACAAAGGGGUACGAUACAGGAGACUGCCGUCCUCCAUAUAGGCAGCCCAAGAAACCUUUCGUUUGUUGUUGUUAUAAACGAUAAGUGAUGAAUCCAUUGUAGAGGGAGAGAGGUCAUGUCAUGUGGUUGGUUUCUCCUUUUGAUAUUAUUAAUG